GACGAACGCUGGCGGCGUGCUUAACACAUGCAAGUCGAACGGAACGGUCCUGCUUUUGUGUGGUGCUCGAGUGGCGAACGGGUGAGUAACACGUGAGUAACCUGCCCUUUACCUUGGGAUAACUUCAGGAAACUGGGGCUAAUACCGGAUAGGAGCUCCUGCUGCAUUGUGUGGGUUGGAAAGUUUCGGUGGUUGGGGAUGGACUCGCGGCUUAUCAGCUUGUUGGUGGGGUAGUGGCUUACCAAGGCUUUGACGGGUAGCCGGCCUGAGAGGGUGACCGGGGACAUUGGGACUGAGGUACGGCGCAGAAUCCUACGGGCGGCAGCAGUCGAAAAUAUUACACAACGGGCGGAAGCCUGAUACAGCAACGCCGCGUGCGUGAUAACGGGCUUCGAGUUGUAAACCACUUUGUCCUGUGACGAAGCGUGAGUGACGGUAAUGAAUAAAGAAGCCCCGGCUAACUACGUG
rnacentral:rRNA from 1 species